GACGAACGCUGGCGGCGUGCUUAACACAUGCAAGUCGUACGGUAAGGCCCUUUCGGGGGUACACGAGUGGCGAACGGGUGAGUAACACGUGAGUAACCUGCCCACAACUUUGGGAUAACGCUAGGAAACUGGUGCUAAUACUGGAUAUGUUCUCCUGCUGCAUGGUGGGGGUUGGAAAGCUCCGGCGGUUGUGGAUGGACUCGCGGCCUAUCAGCUUGUUGGUGGGGUAGUGGCCUACCAAGGCGGCGACGGGUAGCCGGCCUGAGAGGGUGACCGGCCACAUUGGGACUGAGAGACGGCCCAGACUCCUACGGGAGGCAGCAGGGGGGAAUAUUGCACAAUGGGCGCAAGCCUGAUGCAGCAACGCCGCGUGCGGGAUGACGGCCUUCGGGUUGUAAACCGCUUUCAGCAGGGACGAAGCUUUUUGUGACGGUACCUGCAGAAGAAGCACCGGCUAACUACGUG
rnacentral:rRNA from 1 species